rnacentral:tRNA from 1 species
GGUGCGGUGGUCGAGUGGUAACACUCUGGUAUCAUUCCAGAGGUCCCCAGUUCAAUUCCCGGCCGGGGCA